rnacentral:tRNA from 1 species
GGAGAGAUGGCCGAGUGGUUUAUGGCUCCAGUCUUGAAAACUGGCAUGGUGCCGAAACACCAUCGAGGGUUCGAAUCCCUCUCUCUCCU